rnacentral:siRNA from 1 species
AAGCACUAGGUGUGGUCGAGUGAG